rnacentral:rRNA from 1 species
GGGGAAUCUUGCACAAUGGAGGAAACUCUGAUGCAGCGACGCCGCGUGAGUGAUGAAGCCCUUCGGGGUGUAAAGCUCUUUCGACAGGAACGAUAAUGACGGUACCUGAAGAAGAAGCUGCGGCUAACUACGUGCCAGCAGCCGCGGUAAUACGUAGGCAGCAAGCGUUGUUCGGAAUUACUGGGCGUAAAGAGUGUGUAGGCGGUGCUCUAAGUUUGGUGUGAAAUCUCCCGGCUUAACCGGGAGGCUGCAUUGAAUACUGGAGUGCUAGAGGGUGGGAGAGGUAAGCGGAAUUCCUGGUGUAGCGGUGAAAUGCGUAGAUAUCAGGAGGAACACCUGUGGUGUAGACAGCUUACUGGACCACUUCUGACGCUGAGACACGAAAGCGUGGGUAGCAAAC